rnacentral:rRNA from 1 species
CGGGAAUUCGAUUAGUUUGAUCAUGGCUCAGAACGAACGCUGGCGGCAUGCCUAAUACAUGCAAGUCGAACGAGACCUUCGGGGUUAGUGGCGCACGGGUGCGUAACGCGUGGGAAUCUGCCCUUGGCUUCGGAAUAACAGUUAGAAAUGACUGCUAAUACCGGAUGAUGUCUUCGGACCAAAGAUUUAUCGGCCAGGGAUGAGCCCGCGUAGGAUUAGGUAGUUGGUGGGGUAAAGGCCUACCAAGCCGACGAUCCUUAGCUGGUCUGAGAGGAUGAUCAGCCACACUGGGACUGAGACACGGCCCAGACUCCUACGGGAGGCAGCAGUGGGGAAUUUUGGACAAUGGGGGCAACCCUGAUCCAGCAAUGCCGCGUGAGUGAAGAAGGCCUUCGGGUUGUAAAGCUCUUUUGUCAGGGAAGAAACGACUCCUUCUAAUACAGGGGGUUAAUGACGGUACCUGAAGAAUAAGCACCGGCUAACUACGUGCCAGCAGCCGCGGUAAUACGAAUCACUAGUGAAUUCGCGGCCGCCUGCAGGUCGACCAUAUGGAGAGCUCCCAACGCG